GAAGAUAAUUUGUGAAAAUUGAUUAUGAUUAUGUGGUAAGUAUCUUGGUAUAAAUUGGAUGUUCUGCCAGUCAUCUUUUUGAUAUUCGACAUUUGCGCAAUUUGUUGGUGAUCUGUUCUCUGUUCUGUGAGUAGAAAUAAUACUUACCUAUCUAUAUAAUGCAGAAAAGAACUACAGCAAUGGAUUGAAAAUGAAAUUAUUGUAUAGACAAAAGCGAAAGGAACCUCGCAAGCAAAAUCAAAGGAAAUUAUUUUCUGGUAAUACAUAUAAGAAGAACUCUGGAGGCGAAUGCGACUGAGCAGGCCAUCUGAAACAUAAUUGACUGAAAAAAUAAAUCCAACUAUAGGUAGAAGGAUUCGCUGUUGGAGCAGUGGAAGCUUGACAUACAAACUAGAUUCAACUAUAGAACAUGUAUCGCAGUAGCGGCUGACUCUCUGCUCUCUGGCUUGCGAAAUAAACGCCCAUGGUAUCGUAAGAGUAUAUCGGAUUACGAAUGACCACGUCUUAGGAAUUUCGAUCACCAAAAUCAAGGAAGCCCUGAAUAAAAGAAUGAAGACAGUUGCACAAUGUGCAAUCAAUUUCCGUAUCCUGUACACCGAAUUGACAAGUCAAAAAAAAAUUGGAUUUCAGCACAACGAGUCUGGGUAGGCAAUGUCACAUCUAUAUAUAAACGUCUGCUUACAAUAGACAUUAAUGCGUUGUGGAAAAUCCAAACAUGCGUUUUCUGAUUAAGAGCCAAAUCUGACAAAACUCCAGACAAUAUUCUCGAAAUAACUUGGUUUGAUGACAAUGCAGAAAUUGAAAAAUUAGCACGGUCGUUGUUUCCCGAAUUAAAGAAGAACAAUUUCCGAAUGAUAUGAACUGAAGAAAAACUGGACUGAAGUUACAUUUGAGACGCGAGUGCAGAAGUUUUGCGACGCAUUUUCUGCCUAUGUAUAACCUUAUCAGUAAAUAACGAAUACAUUCGUGCGCCGUGAAAUAUUGAGGGGGUCGAUUGUAACCCAGACCCAACCCAUUUGAGAAAACAUUUUAAGCGGUUAAAAGCUCCCGAACACCACGUAGACGAUUUUUUGUUCUAUUGGUCAUCAGUUAAACUCAUCUUAUAAUACUUUUGUUUCGCGUCUUUUACUUCCUGUUCGGCAAACAUCUAAAGGAUUAGUAAGUAUCAAGAGAAAAUGAAAGUUUCGUGAAGGAAAAUGGCGUAAUAAUAUCUAGAGCUCAUCACACUGAUUAUUGCGUAUACAACUGACAAUAAAAAGAAUAAGAUCUAAAUGGACAUUGGUAUUCCAAAUGGAGACAAAUGCUACGGAGCAUCUGAAAAAUAUUCUCAGAAAAACGGAGAUUUCCUUUGGACAAUUUUCGCAGUUCAAAAAGAUAAUUUUAUCGAAGAAUGUGCUCGUGACAUGCACAAAAUAGUUGAUCAGUGUAUUUUAUUUACCGGAGUCAAUUUAAAGAUAUCUCUUCGUACCAUUCCGUUGCGUUGAUGGUUGCAACGGAACUGUACAAAGUCUAAAACAGAUAUGAAGAAUGUUUAUGUGCCCGUGGCAUACACAAAACUAAAUUGUCCAUUCUUCAAAAUUAAGAUGAAAUGAAUAAUAUUCUUAUUAACUUAGGAUUUGAUAUCGAGAAGAUGAGAAUGAGUGUAAUUGCCCUAGCACACCUACAGAUUCUUCACAAAAAACUACCAUUUGGAACUUAUAUAGAAGCAAAGCAUAUUAGAACAACAAAGACUGAAAGUGAAAGAUUGGAAGAACAAUCCAAACGAAUUAAUGAACCAUAUAAACGACGAAGUAUAAUUGCAAAUGGACUUCCCACAGAAGAAUUCGCUGUUGGAGUUGCGAAAGCUCGUAGAAUCCUGUCCUAUACCUAAACACUUCACGAAGAAGAAGUGGAUAGAUACUUCACAAAUCUGAGACUCACAAAAAUUAAAUUCAACUAUAGGUGCGGCUACACAUAUUAAAUUGUAUAUACUACUUGGAAGGAAUUCACGGAAAAGGUUGGCCAGUUUUAACAACAAAAAAAAAACUUUUUGGUGAUGGUCGAUUAGAUUCUACGUCACUUGUAAACCAUUAAAAAAAUUAGAAAAUU